rnacentral:rRNA from 1 species
UAUCAAAGGAGAAAUCCGCUUUGAGAUGGGCCCGCGGCGCAUUAGCUAGUUGGAGAGGUAACGGCUCACCAAGGCGACGAUGCGUAGCCGACCUGAGAGGGUGAUCGGCCACAUUGGAACUGAGACACGGUCCAGACUCCUACGGGAGGCAGCAGUGGGGAAUAUUGCACAAUGGGGGAAACCCUGAUGCAGCAACGCCGCGUGAACGAAGAAGGCCUUCGGGUCGUAAAGUUCUUUGAUUGGGGACGAUAAUGACGGUACCCAAAAAACAAGCCACGGCUAACUACGUG